GCUUUUAAUCUCCCUGCAACUUGAGAACACACCAAUCCAACAACCAGAUUUACACACAUUUUUACAAUGACUUUAUCCGGGUGUUUAACGUUUCUCAUGCUAUCAGUUUCUGUGGUGCGCAGUCAGACUCUGACUGAGUCUGAACCGGUGGUAAAAAGUCCUGGACAAUCCCACAAACUCACCUGUACGUACACAGGAAUAUUAGAUUCCAGCGCUGAUAUCAGCUGGAUCAGACAGGCUGAAGGAAAAGGACUGGAGUGGGUUUCCUUCAUUUCUGCUCCGAGUGGAAGCAAUAAAUAUUAUUCCACGUCAGUCAAGAAUCGCUUCACCAUAUCAAGAGACAACGAUGUGGACCAGGUGUAUCUGCACAUGAACAGCCUGACAGCUGAAGACUCUGCUGUUUAUUAUUGUGCCAGAGCCCGUGCUUACUUUGACUACUGGGGUCAAGGGACUGCAGUCACUGUUAAUUCAGGAACUGCACCGACUCUGUUCCCUGUGGUUCAAUGCGGCUCUGGGACUGGAAAUCAAAUCACUGUUGGUUGUCUGCUCAUGACUUCAUCCAAAGAGUACUUUCCAGUGGACGGAUGA